UGCCCUCGUUGCUGCGUGGUUGCCGCAGCCUCCGGGUAACCUACCACCCUUUGUUUAUUACACUUUGUUGCUUUGGCAGGCCUGCCCUCGGGCUGCUGGCUCCGGCCGGCGAGCGCUUGCCAGAGGACCUAAACUCUGUUUGUCUAUACUGUCUGAGUACUAUAUAAUAGUUAAAACUUUCAACAACGGAUCUCUUGGUUCUGGCAUCGAUGAAGAACGCAGCGAAAUGCGAUAAGUAAUGUGAAUUGCAGAAUUCAGUGAAUCAUCGAAUCUUUGAACGCACAUUGCGCCCCCUGGUAUUCCGGGGGGCAUGCCUGUCCGAGCGUCAUUACAACCCUCAAGCUCAGCUUGGUAUUGGGCCCCGCCGACCCGGCGGGCCCUAAAGUCAGUGGCGGUGCCGUCCGGCUCCGAGCGUAGUAAUUCUUCUCGCUCUGGAGGUCCGGUCGUGUGCUCGCCAGCAACCCCCAAUUUUUUUCAGGUUGACCUCGGAUCAGGUAGGGAUACCCGCUGAACUUAAGCAUAUCAAUAAGCCGGAGGA
rnacentral:rRNA from 1 species